rnacentral:tmRNA from 1 species
CGGUUUCGACAGCGGAUGUCGAAGCAGGGGAAGCGAGCCGAGGAAGCGGCAAUGAUCUCGUAAACCAUAUGUCGCAAAAAAUAAUCGCCAACACCAAGCGCGAUUCCUUCGCCCUCGCUGCCUAAGUAGCGACCUGCGAAGUGUCAGCCCGGGGGUGUUCCCGACCCGGAUCCUGGCAUCAGCUAGGGAACUAAACUUCUAGGUCCGGUCACGGGUCCUAGGAGGAAAUCAAACAGUGACUGAGCCCGUCGGAGACUUGUCCGCGAGAUCUCCGGGGCCGAGAAAAUCGCAGCGGACUGCGCUCGGAGAAGCCCUGUUUCCGCACCGUUGGACGC